AUUGUGGCUGAAUGGUAAAGCAUCUGCUUAUAUUGCAGAAGGUCCCAGGUUGAAUCUCUAGCUGAAAGG
rnacentral:tRNA from 1 species